AUUGAACGCUGGCGGCAUGCCUAACACAUGCAAGUCGAACGGAAAGGCCCUGCUUUUGUGGGGUGCUCGAGUGGCGAACGGGUGAGUAACACGUGAGUAACCUGCCCUUGACUUUGGGAUAACUUCAGGAAACUGGGGCUAAUACCGGAUAGGAGCUCCUGCUGCAUGGUGGGGGUUGGAAAGUUUCGGCGGUUGGGGAUGGACUCGCGGCUUAUCAGCUUGUUGGUGGGGUAGUGGCUUACCAAGGCUUUGACGGGUAGCCGGCCUGAGAGGGUGACCGGCCACAUUGGGACUGAGAUACGGCCCAGACUCCUACGGGAGGCAGCAGUGGGGAAUAUUGCACAAUGGGCGGAAGCCUGAUGCAGCAACGCCGCGUGCGGGAUGACGGCCUUCGGGUUGUAAACCGCUUUCGCCUGUGACGAAGCGUGAGUGACGGUAAUGGGUAAAGAAGCACCGGCUAACUACGUG
rnacentral:rRNA from 1 species